GUUUGAUCCUGGUCAGGAUGAACGCUGACAGAAUGCUUAACACAUGCAAGUCUACUUGAUCCUUCGGGUGAUGGUGGCGGACGGGUGAGUAACGCGUAAAGAACUUGCCCUGCAGUCUGGGACAACAUUUGGAAACGAAUGCUAAUACCGGAUAUUAUGUGAGUUUCGCAUGAAAUUCAUAUGAAAGCUAUAUGCGCUGCAGGAGAGCUUUGCGUCCUAUUAGCUAGUUGGUGAGGUAACGGCUCACCAAGGCGAUGAUAGGUAGCCGGCCUGAGAGGGUGAACGGCCACAAGGGGACUGAGACACGGCCCUUACUCCUACGGGAGGCAGCAGUGGGGAAUAUUGGACAAUGGACCAAAAGUCUGAUCCAGCAAUUCUGUGUGCACGAUGAAGUUUUUCGGAAUGUAAAGUGCUUUCAGUUGGGACGAAGUAAGUGACGGUACCAACAGAAGAAGCGACGGCUAAAUACGUGCCAGCAGCCGCGGUAAUACGUAUGUCGCAAGCGUUAUCCGGAUUUAUUGGGCGUAAAGCGCGUCUAGGCGGUUUGGUAAGUCUGAUGUGAAAAUGCGGGGCUCAACUCCGUAUUGCGUUGGAAACUGCCAAACUAGAGUACUGGAGAGGUGGGCGGAACUACAAGUGUAGAGGUGAAAUUCGUAGAUAUUUGUAGGAAUGCCGAUGGGGAAGCCAGCCCACUGGACAGAUACUGACGCUAAAGCGCGAAAGCGUGGGUAGCAAACAGG
rnacentral:rRNA from 1 species